UAUCAAUGAUGAAACCUAUCCCAAAGCUGAUGACCUGAAGAAAAAUACCUACAGAUUCAGCUUCUGAUAU
ensembl:snoRNA